rnacentral:rRNA from 1 species
CACGCAGGCGGUCGUGUAAGUUUGGGGUUACAGCUCCCGGCUCAACUGGGAGAGCGCCUUGAAGACUGCAGGACUUGAGGGCCAGAGAGGGACACAGAAUUCCGGGUGUAGUGGUGAGAUGCGUAGAUAUCCGGAGGAAUACCAAAGGCGAAGGCAGUGUCCUGGCUGGUGACUGACGCUGAGGUGCGAAAGCUAGGGGAGCGAACGGGAUUAGAUACCCCGGUAGUCCUAGCUGUAAACGAUGACCACUAGGUGUGGGAGGUAUCGACCCCUUCCGUGCCGCAGCUAACGUGAUAAGUGGUCCGCCUGGGGAUACGGUCGCAAGAUUAAA